ACUACGGGUGGCAGCAGUGGGGAAUAUUGCACAAUGGGGGAAACCCUGAUGCAGCGACGCCGCGUGAGUGAAGAAGUAUCUCGGUACGUAAAGCUCUAUCAGCAGGGAAGAAAAUGACGGUACCUGACUAAGCAGCCCAGGCUACCUACGUGCCAGCGGCCUCGGUAAUACGUAGGGGGCAAGCGUUAUCCUGAUUUACUGGGUGUAAAGGGAGCGUAGGCGGCAGCACAAGUCUGGAGUGAAAUCCCGGGGCUUAACCCCGCAACUGCUUUGGAAACUGGGCGGCUGGCGUGCAGGAGGGGUAAGCGGAAUUCCUAGUGUAGCGGUGAAAUGCGUAGAUAUUAGGAGGAACACCGGUGGCGAAGGCGGCUUACUGGACUGUAACUGACGUUGAGGCUCGAAAGCGUGGGGAGCAAACAGGAUUAGAUACCCUGGUAGUC
rnacentral:rRNA from 1 species